CCUACGGGGGGCAGCAGUGAGGAAUAUUGGUCAAUGGGCGCGAGCCUGAACCAGCCAAGUCGCGUGAGGGAUGAAGGUUCUAUGGAUCGUAAACCUCUUUUAUCAGGGAAUAAAGUGUGGGACGUGUCCUCUUUUGUAUGUACCUUAUGAAUAAGGAUCGGCUAACUCCGUGCCAGCAGCCGCGGUAAUACGGAGGGUCCGGGCGUUAUCCGGAUUUUUUGGGUUUAAAGGGUUCGUAGGCGGUCUUUUAAGGCAGCGGUGAAAGUCUGUGGCUCAACCAUAGAAUUGCCGUUGAAACUGGGGGGCUUGAGUAUGCUUGAGGCAGGCGGAAUGCGUGGUGUAGCGGUGAAAUGCUUAGAUAUCACGCAGAACCCCGAUUGCGAAGGCAGCCUGCCAAGCCAUGACUGACGCUGAUGCACGAAAGCGUGGGGAUCAAACAGGAUUAGAUACCCCUGUAGUC
rnacentral:rRNA from 1 species